UACGUAGGGACCAAGCGUUGUUCGGAUUUACUGGGCGUAAAGGGCGCGUAGGCGGCAUGACAAGUCACUUGUGAAAUCUCCGGGCUUAACUCGGAACGGUCAAGUGAUACUGUCGCGCUAGAGUGCGGAAGGGGCAAUCAGAAUUCUUGGUGUAGCGGUGAAAUGCGUAGAUAUCGGGAGGAACACCUGUGGCGAAAGCGGCGCACUGGACCAUAACUGACGCUUAUGCGCGAAAGCUAGGGGAGCAAACAGG
rnacentral:rRNA from 1 species